rnacentral:rRNA from 1 species
AUGAGCCAGGCCUGUGUAAGCGAACCKUUAGUGGAGCGGUGAAAGGCUCAKUAACGGGCGAUUUAUUUGUUCUCCUGUGACGGACAACAUCGGGAAACUGAUGGGAAAACGUCUAAGUUGCAGUUAAUUGAUUGUGACGUAAACGAUUUUGUGCAGGAGAGUAAGAUGCCAUCCUAUCAGUUAGUAAGUAGGGUAAGGGCCUACUUAGACGAAGACGGGUACGGGGAAUGAGGGUUUGAUUCCGGAGAGGGAGCCUGAGAGAUGGCUACCAGGACCAAGGUCAGCAGCAGGCGCGAAAAUUAUCGAAGCCCGCCUAGGGGCGAUAGUGAGGAGACGUGUAUAACGAAGUACGUGUAAAGAACGUGCUAAUAACUGGAGGUCAAGUCUGGUGCCAGCAUCCGCGGUAAUUCCAGCUCCAGGGGUGUCUAUGAUGAUUGCUGCGAUUAAAAAGUCCGUAGUCAAUCUGACUGACUGACCUGCAAUGUGAUUGAUUAAAGAACGAGCAGGGUUAGGAAAGCAGAGAAUUAGGAGCGACCGAGGGCUAGAGUAUUGAAUGGCGAGAGGUGAAAUUUGAUGACCCAUUCAGGAGUGACAAAGGCGAAGGCACUAGUCAAGGGCGAAUCCGAUGAUCAAGGACGUAGGCUAGAGUUUCGAAAACGAUUAGAGACCGGAGUAGUUCUAGCAGUAAACUAUGCCGACGCCGUGGUAUYAUUUURGUAUUGCGGAAGAGAAAUCAAGUAAGGCUUUGGGGAGAGUACGCGCGCAAGCGAUAAAUUUAAAGGAAAUUGACGGAGGAACACCACAAGGAGUGGAGUGUGCGGCUUAAUUUGACUCAACGCGGAC